UACGUAGGAGGCAAGCGUUGUCCGGAUUUACUGGGCGUAAAGAGCGUGUAGGCGGCAUGGCAAGUCUGCUGUGAAAGCUCUCGGCUUAACCGGGAGAGGUCGGUGGAAACUGCCAGGCUUGAGGACGGUAGAGGGGGGUGGAAUUCCCGGUGUAGUGGUGAAAUGCGUAGAUAUCGGGAGGAACACCAGUGGCGAAGGCGGCCCCCUGGGCCGCUCCUGGCGCUGAGACGCGAAGGCUAGGGUAGCGAACGGG
rnacentral:rRNA from 1 species